GUGUUUCACUAUCUAUCCUGUAAGUAUAUUAUUAGAUCUAACUUUGUUAAGAAAUUUCUUUCUAAGGAAUCUAUACUGAAUAAAAUUUUGAAGAUUCGUAUUAUAUAGGCAGUGCCCAACAUAUGAGAGUUGUCACUAACAUAAGAAGUGAUAUCUUCUACCAUUAAAACUUUCAGUAUAUCUUGAAAGUGUCUGUGUGAUAAAGUACUGAUGACUAGCAAGAAAGAUGCCUUAAAAAUAGAGAGAACACCCUUUGUCAAAGAUUUUAAAGGUUUCAAAUACAUCUUUAGAGCAUCACCUUAUUUUUCAAGAGGGGUGGAGGAGCUUUUCCUGAGUGUUUCUCCUGGAAAAAGACAUAUAUAUUUUGUAUUGAGGUCUAAACACCAGGAACUUGAUCCUGAUUUUGUUUAUGCUCAUGUAAAUCACAAGUUGUUUAUAAGGCAAGUCCCUGCCAGCACAGAUUAGAACUUUUAUACCCAACUUUUCUCCAUGCCCCAAUCUUUACUAGGGGAAAGGAAUAAAACUACCAGAAAAAUGUGGCACUUCCUCUCUGAAUUUUCCCUCUGCUGCAUUCCACCCUUGGAUGGGAAGAGUCUCAGACCCAAAUGGUAUGAGGCCCAGACAGGUAUGCCGCUAUUUUGUGAUUCAAAAGCCAGAUACUUAUAUGUUUGAAAAUGAGAACUAGGUUAUUCUCUUAUCCUAUAGAUAUCAGUUAUAUAACUGUAACGAUACUAUACAUAUGCUAUAAUGAUUCUGUACUUUUGUACUUUUAAUGACCUUUGUCUUGCCAGUACUAUAACUGUAAAGAUGCGUAAGAUCAUCUUGAAGAUUCUUGACAUCUUAGAAGAAAACUCUACAUGGGCAAGCAGACCAUGUGGUCACCAGUUAUGUUUAGAAUUAGUACAUGGGAAGUACAUUAACAUCUGUCAUGAAAUUUUGCUCUAAAAACGAAAAUUUGAUAUUUUAUUUUGACAAGUGUAUUUCUUCUAUCUCAGGAUAAUGUGACACUCAAUCCCCACUCUCACUGAGGCAUACCUCUGUUUGGCAAAAGAUCAGCUGUACAUACACAGGGUCAGAUGUGACUUCUGGGGAUGCAGUGGUCAACACAGCCAAAGAUGGAACAUGACCUCAGAAGGUCAGGCUUCCUGGGUCAGGAAAGAGGGUCAGACUUGAAGAUUUAGAACAAAACUUCAGAACUGGGACUCUUAUCUCUGCACCUGCGGUACAGCAUGCCUGGUAAAUUGGAUCCUAUAUUGGCAGCUUCAUGGAAUUGCAUCAGGAGCACUGAAGUUUCUGUGAUGGGAACAAAGUACACAAACAGGAACUGGACUGAAACCAACUACAUAUUUCACUGGAUUGGAUGGGAAGAAAACAAGGUGAAUGAGCCCAUACAUAUCAUCUCUUUAUAAUAAGAUCCUCUCCCCAAAUGGAAAGUGCUGAGCCACUGAGCCACUUGUUUUUUGUUAAUGCUAAGCCCUACAGGAUUCUGCAACCCUUGCCAAUGUGAGUAACUUCAUUUUUUUAUCAUUUGUGUUUUCUUCUGGAGUUUCCAUAAUUUGGAUGGGUUUUCAUCAGGUCUUCCCUGUGCAAUGACUGCAGUGUGACUGUUUUUCCCAACACCCCAACACAUAUCCUGGAAUGAAAUACGGGUUUGGGUCUAUGCAAUCUUCAUAGAAUCAUAGAAACAUAGAAUCGCUAAGGUUGGAAAAGACCCACAGGAUCAUCCAGUCCAACCAUUUGCCCUUCACCGAUGGUUCUCUUCACAGUGGUGUUUCAGGAAGCAAAAUGCAGAGUGUAGGUUGUACAGAAUGCAGCCUGCAUUGAUUAAUGAGACUGCUGAGUAAUGACGUGUUUUUCUCUCUGAUCUUCUGAAAUCAGCUAGAAUAUUAUUAAAGUAUCUAUGGAAGAGUACAGGUCAAAACUAUGAAAGGAAAGGAGAAGCAAAGACUCUUUCUCAAGGUCACUGAGAACCCACCUUGAAAUAUGGAUGACUUAAAUAUCAGAAUGUGCAUCAGAAAUAGCUCAUCACUGUGAGUCAGAAAUGCUGCUAGGAACAGAACCUUAGUGAUUCAGCCAUAUGCCAAUGAGCUACAUGGGAGCUGCCGCUUUUAGGACCCCUGACACAUCUUGUUAGUGCUCAGGCUAUGUCAUUGUGGAUUAAAGCAAGGCACUGCAUUUAUUUCAGCAAUUGAAUGGACUGCUAUCACAGUAACACUAAUAUCUUCUAGGUCAGGAAGGGGGUCAUAUAGGCACAGUCAAAAGAGGAAAAACUACACAUCCCACACAGCUGUGUUCAGCAACACUGUGAGGCCAUUCUUGUAGAGAAGUCCAAGAAGCUUCUCUGGCAUAUCAGUCACUCCUCACAAUUUUAUAUCUCCCUUCAUCAAAAUGGAUGAGGGUGUGCUCUGCCCCAUCAUCCAGAUCAUUAAUGAAGAAGCUAAACUCUUCUUUCUACAGAGUUUAUGGAGAGAUGCAACUCUUCUCUCCAUAACCCUAGAAAUGCUUGCCAUUUUCCAAACUACAACGUGAUUCUCAGGAUCUAUUGAUGAAUUCUCAACAAGUGAACAGUUUUAAAAUU
ensembl:lncRNA